GAGGGUGUAGCUCAGUGGUAGAGUGUGUGCUUAGCAUGCAGGAGGCCCUGGGUUCAAUUCCCAGUACUUCUA
rnacentral:tRNA from 1 species